rnacentral:rRNA from 1 species
CAGCCGCCGCGGGAACACGGAGGGGGCUAGCGUUGUUCGGAAUUACUGGGCGUAAAGCGCACGUAGGCGGCUUGGUAAGUUAGAGGUGAAAGCCCGGAGCUCAACUCCGGAAUUGCCUUUAAGACUGCCGAGCUAGUAGGUGAGAGAGGUAAGUGGAAUUCCGAGUGUAGAGGUGAAAUUCGUAGAUAUUCGGAAGAACACCAGUGGCGAAGGCGGCUUACUAGCUCAUACUGGACGCUGAGGUGCGAAAGCGUGGGGAGUAAACAGGAUUAGAUACCCCCGUAGUCCUGUCUCUUAUACA